GCAACAAUAUCUGAGUACAGACAUAAAACAACAUGGGGUGCCUUAGAGAAGGCUAGCACAAAAGAUACAACGAUCGAAUGAGGCGAGGCCUCCUGCCUGGGAACCUCCUAACUACUCCUGAUCAUCAGCGGCCUCCACGUAGUAGUAGGCACCGUCGGGGUAGCAGUAGUCGGUGGCGAGGACCUCCAUCUCCUGGGCUUCAUCAUCUGGUCGCAGCAAACGGAUCAAGGGGACAAGGGGGGAGCAAAGCAGCGGUGAGUACUCAUCCAAAGUACUCGCAAGUCUUACAUUAGAACUAUUCUAAUUAUGCAUCAGUAUCAAAGAAGGGGGUUAUAUGUGGACUGACUGCAGCAAUGCGAGAAUAGAGAGAGAAGGCCUAGUCCUAUCGAAGACUAGCAUCUUCAGGGUCUUGCAACAAUAGACGAGAGUAGAACGGGGGUAACACAUUAAUAGUCAUAUUGUUGCAGCAAUAUUAAAGUGAGGUCACGCCUAAAGAUCCUCCCUCGACUCCCUGCGAGGAAGCAAUCCCGAGGCAAACUAAUUCCAGUUAAGUAACCAUUGUAGUUGUAAAAGAUCGGGGCACAACUCCAAGUCGUCCUGUAACCGUGGACACGGCUAUCCGAAUAGUUAAUUUUCAUCCCUGCAGGGGUGCACCACAUGUCCCGUCACGCUCGAUAACACUCUGGCCGGACAUACUUUUCUGGGUCCUGCCCGGCCUCGGAAUAUCGACACGUCGAAGCCCCACCUAAGACUAAUCAGAGAGGCCAGCCCGCCGGUCUAAAUCCUAAGCACAAAGGGUUCAUGGGCCCAGUUCCCCUUCACGCUCCUGCACGUGGCGUGGGCGGCCGACGUCAGUCCUAGCAUCCCUUAAUCACAAGCGCGAUGCAUCUCGGGACCACUCGGGCGCGCGCCGCUACACUGCUGGCAUCUGAAAAGCUUCGGCUGAUACCGCGACGCCGAGUACCCAUAAUUCUUCCUGCGUAGCCAGUUAGUGCGAAAAGGUCUCCGACCAACCCAGAUCAAAUACCCAAAUCCAUUAGCAUUUUAAUUAGGCCAGCAACACAGUCUCGCGGGAAUCCACCCGUCUUACAACUAAUCACCGAAGAUCCCAGUAACAUGGUCGAGUAACUGUGUGGUUGUAACAUCGGGGGAAUCCGAGGUAUCACCCUCGUUGGAUUCCGAACGAUGUACCCGUCAAGGUGGGCUUAGAGGAAUCACCCUCGGGGGUCCCACACUCGCGGGGUGGCACGACAGAGACGUCAUCGGGAAUGGUGAAAGAGGAAUCACCCUCGAUAACCACGACCGACUAGCUAUACUACAGAGAUAUCAUCAGGAGUACUUAGCAAGGUGUCACCCUCGGUACCCGAUAGUUUCUCUGUAGCGUCGUACAACAAGGGGGGGUGAAUGUGCUGUGUCGGGUCUGGCUCGUCGAUCAGAGAUCGAGAUAUGAAAACAAGCGGGCAACUGAUCUACGGGGUCAGAGGGGAUGACUGCUCCACCUAUACUAAGCAUAUUAAAAGUACAGGACUGAAAGUAGCAGUUCAUCAAAAACAGGCUAUGCAUCAGAUAUAGGAUCUAACUCCAACAGUAGCAAAAUACUAAUGCAAGCAGUAGGAAGAAAGACAUAGGCGAUAUAGGAAUGAUCAAGGGGAGUUUGCUUGCCUUGCUGCUCUGCGGCAAAGGACUGAUCGGCAGGGUCGUAGAUGUACCCGGCAGCAGCGUCAGUCUCGGGGUCUACCGGUAAGAAGAGGGGGAAGAAACAGUAAAUAAUAGCACCGAUGCAACACGAAGCAUGACAUGGUAAGAUGCAGGCUAGACAUGAACUAACGCAGCAACAUCCGUCAUAGACGGGUCGGAAGAAUAUCUGACGAUAUUUUCCGGGUCUCGGGCUACUACCGGUUAUACUGGAAACGAUGGAAAAGUUCCAUGUUUGCUAUGCUAGGGACGCGUGACAGACGAACGGGCCGUGUAUCCGGGUUUGUCUCGUUUUGCUGAUCAACUUUCAUGUUGAAAUUAUUUUGAUCUGACUUACGGAUUAUUUAAUAUUAAUUUUCAAAGUUUUAUUAAUUAUUUAGGAAUUAAAAACAGAUUUAAAUGAUUUACUAAAAUCCUAUUAUGACAUCAUCGCGAUGUCAUGCUGACAUCAACAUUUGACCGGUCAACUGACCAGCGGGUCCCGAACGUCAUAGGCACAAGUUUUUAUUAAGAUUAAUUAUUUAUUUAUCAGAUUAAUUCAACGAGGGACCCACGUGUCAUACUCUAAUUAUUCUAAUUAAUUAAUUUAACUAAUAUAUCUAUUUAUUUAUUUAAUAAAACAUUAUUUUUCUAUUAUUUAUUUUAACUACCGCGUGGGGCCUCCCUGUCAUAGACACCGGGUGCAUUGGCCCCACCGGUAAGUGGCCUAAGGCUAUUUUCUCAUCUCCUUUUAUUAGAUACCUAACCGUGCAAAUACCGUAUUCCUCUAAAUAUCCAUAUACGUAAAUACAUACAUCACAUCUCAUACAUACAUACAUACAUACGCAUUUAAUACAUCAUUUGUUUUUAUUCAUUUUUCUUUUCUCUCACAACACUCAUCUCUCUCUCUCUUAACAGAGACACAAAACUCUCUCCUAACUCCAUAGAAGAACCUAAAGUUCAAAUCCUCCUACCGGAGUCUACCGUCGACGGAUCGAGGUCCCGUUUGCCGGAACGGAACCGGGACGGCGAGGAGAUCGACAUGGUGGGAGGAGCCCGAGGAGGGGCUCACCAACGGUGACGGGACGGCCCGGUGAAGCCGGAGUUCGCACGAAGGUGACGUUGGAGACGGGCAUGGUUCCGGUGGUGAAGAGGACGGUGAUGAUGGUGGUGAUGUGCCGGCGAGGAGGAGCCGGCCGAAGGUUCGCCGAGAGGGGCCCCGGUGAGGAGGGGCCCCCGGAGAUGGAGCCGCCGAUGGUGACCGGCGGGAGGAGGGGCUCGGCCGACGGGGCUCCCGGGGGCGGCCGGCGGGAUGGAGGGCCGAGGUGGGGGCGGCUCGCCGACCGGGAGGAUGAGGGGCCGCCGGGGGAGGAGGAUGAGGGGAGAGGGUCGCCGCGGGAGGGAGGGGGCCGUGAGGUGGGGCGGCUCGGUGGAGGAGGUGGCCGUGGGGGGGAGGAGGCCGCCGGCGGGAGGAGGAGUGGCCGCCGGGGGGGCUGCCGGCGGGAGGAGGAGUGGCCGCCGGCCGGGGAGGGAGGAUCUGAGGGGGAGGGGGCGACGGCAGGAGAGGAGGCAGGAGAGAUCUGGGGCUCGGUGGGGGAGGCGAGAUUGGGAAACCGAGAGGGAGGUGAGGUGGGGAGGGAGUUACUGGACCGUGGGGGUCUCGGUGGGUGGGGGAGUGAACGAGAGGGGAGGGAGGCGCUGUCGGUGGGUGGGGUGGGGCCCCCCACGAGGGGGGGUGGCUGGCGGCGGCGCUCAGGGGGGGAGGGAGUAGCGAGGGGAGUGGCCCUCGCCAGGGGGGGAUUAGGGUUUGGCCGGUAGGGCCGGUGGGUGGCCCAGCUGGGCCGGGGGAGUGGGGUUGCUUUUUUUUUAAUUUGUUUUCUUUUUCCCUUUUUAUUAUUUCUUUCUUUCUAAUUUCUUUUCACUAACUGAUUUUUCUUUUUUAAAUACUUUCUUUUAAUAUACUUUCUUUUUCAAUUUAUUAUACAUACUUCUAAAUCUCUCUUUCAUAUACAUAUUCUUUUAAUAUUUGAAAUGAACUUAUAAAGUACUUUUUCUUUUGCUUUCAAAUUUUGGAUCCGGACAAACUCGAAUCAACGCGGGUCUGGAUGGGAAUUCAAUGACGUGGCAUCAUAAGCGGUUGAUCACUGUAGCUUAAUUACAAUAAUUACUGUAGCAAAAGUCGAGGAUGUCACACUUUUACCUCCAUCGGAGGGGCCGAACCUGGGUAAACUCGCGUCUCUCGAUUCCGACCAACCCCUCUCAAGCCGCCACAUAGUUGUGAUGCCCUCACACCUAAGUCCUUUCACGAGGACAUAUGUCGUGACAAAACCACGAUAUUUGGCGCCCACCGUUGGGCUUUAUCGCACUGUGGUAUUGUGUUUUUGGAGGGAACUUUUCCAAGGAUCGAGAGGCUAUUGAUAAUACAAGAUCUGAUUGGAAGGAAAAUUAGGGUUGCGACUUGAGAGUCGUCGCAAGUAUCUCUGUCGAUCCUUCAAUCUCAAGCUAGGUCAACUUUUGUGCAGCACAUGCACGGUUGAUUGAGGGAAACAACCAACCGGCUCUCGUCGAGAACAUUUGGGCGACAACGACGACGACCAAGACUACAAUUAUCUUACCUACUAAUAAAGCGCGUACGGCUUCUAUCGUCCGUCGCUCGCUGUUUUCAAUUCGCGGUCGAGUGUGUUUGGUUCAUUUAGCGGUCGGCCCCUUCAAAUACACCAGAUUGACAGUAGCCCAAGUGGUUAGAGCUUUUAACUUUCUCGCAGGAUACCCAAGUUCGAGUCCCACCACCACCUAGUUUCUUUGUAUCUUUUUUCUACUUGAUUUCAGGCUGAUGUACGUUAGAGCUGCACUGUUGCAAGUUUUGUUCAAUUUUUUUAAUGUUUCUAUUUUUGCAGAUUCAAAUAUAUUUUUAAAUAUUUAUAUCUUUUAAAUUCUAACUUUAAAUUACAAAAGUUAUAUAUGAAGUAGCUUUAAAAUUACAUAGACUUCAAAUAUAAUAUUAUUUUUCAUGAUAAUUAUUUCUGAAAUUGUGUUUGCAUCCUUAGUUAAUACAAUACCUUUUUUAUAUGAGGCGUUUCAAGAACUUUGGCCCAACUAUUUUCUUUUUAACGUUUCUAUUUUUCGCAGAUUCAAAUACAUUUAUAUAUUCAUGUCUUCUAAACUCUAACUUCAAAUUUCAAAAGUUAUAUACGAAAUAAUUUAAAAAAUAUGUAGAUUUCAAAUGUAAUCUUAUCUUUCAUGUUAAUUAUUUCCAAAGUAAUGUUUACAUCCUUAAUUAAUACCUUUCUUUAUAUGGGGUACAACGUUGGUGAAAAUAAUAAAAUUCCAUGAUUUAAAAAAAAAAGUUUGUGUAUUAUUUUUUGACUGCAAUUGAAAAAAAUGUUUGCUAAUUAAAAAAUGUUGAAGAAUUUCAAAAAUGUCCUAUUAUUUUAAAGAUAUGAUAUGAUAAGCAUUAUUGAAAAUUAUAGUUGUUUUUCUUCCGUUGCAACGCACGGACCCUUUUGCUAGUUUUAACAAAAAGAAGGACUUGAUCAUGCUCUAGUCGGACGACAACAUGACGACAGUGUUAGCCAUGAGGAAGAAGAAGUACUAAGCCCUCACCAUGGAUGUUGUGUACUCGUUCCAGGCUGACUGCAUCGCCGGGGCCGCCCCGUCAGUGCACCUCGCAUCUACAUACCCGCCGCCCGCUUUCCGCCUUGAUCCAGCCCGCUGCGUCGCACCCCCCAUGCACCAGCUCCUCCCCGCUUCGCAGUGACGCGCUUGGCUGGUACCACCCCACCCCGCCGUAGUGGCCACACCUCGAGCUGGCCCUAUCUACGGCCUGCU
rnacentral:lncRNA from 1 species